UAUUUUAUUUUUUUCACACCAAAUUCAUGAUCUAAAUGCAGCCUUUCAGAAAUGAAUUUAGAAGUGGUGUGGCGACUCCAAUUCAGAGUGUUGUCUCCCACGUGCUUGAACUGUAUUCCCGAUCACUUCCGGGUAUCUGGGCUAGGCAUCAUGCCACCUGGUUUAAGUUUAACUAACUUCUUGGUUAAUCGGCUCAGCUUGAUUCGGCUCGGCUGUGCCAUUCCCCACGCUAGCCCGUCUGCCCAUGCCCAUGUAAAUCCACCUCAGGAGUUCGGCCCAUGCUUCGAGGCUCAAGUCCUUUUUCGGCCCAUGUGUGUUAAAGGCCCAAAUUCGUUACUUAUUUUUAGACCCAAAUAUUUUAUCCCCUAAAAUUGUUGUGAAAAUCAUAGCACAACUGUUUUAGUUUACGAUUUUUUUCGUCUGUAAGGAAUAUUUUU
rnacentral:lncRNA from 1 species